rnacentral:rRNA from 1 species
UACGAAGGGGGGCUAGCGUUGCUCGGAAUCACUGGGCGUAAAGCGCACGUAGGCGGAUUGUUAAGUCAGGGGUGAAAUCCCGGGGCUCAACCCCGGAACUGCCUUUGAUACUGGCAUUCUCGAGUCCGGAAGAGGUGAGUGGAAUUCCGAGUGUAGAGGUGAAAUUCGUAGAUAUUCGGAGGAACACCAGUGGCGAAGGCGGCUCACUGGUCCGGUACUGACGCUGAGGUGCGAAAGCGUGGGGAGCAAACGGG